GAUGAACGCUGGCGGCGUGCUUAACACAUGCAAGUCGAACGGUGAAGCAGGAGCUUGCUCUUGUGGAUCAGUGGCGAACGGGUGAGUAACACGUGAGCAACCUGCCCCUGACUCUGGGAUAAGCGCUGGAAACGGCGUCUAAUACUGGAUAUGUGAUGUGACCGCAUGGUCUGCAUCUGGAAAGAAUUUCGGUUGGGGAUGGGCUCGCGGCCUGUCAGCUUGUUGGUGAGGUAAUGGCUCACCAAGGCGUCGACGGGUAGCCGGCCUGAGAGGGUGACCGGCCACACUGGGACUGAGACACGGCCCAGACUCCUACGGGAGGCAGCAGUGGGGAAUAUUGCACAAUGGGCGGAAGCCUGAUGCAGCAACGCCGCGUGAGGGAUGACGGCCUUCGGGUUGCAAACCUCUUUUAGCAGGGAAGAAGCGAAAGUGACGGUACCUGCAGAAAAAGCACCGGCUAACUACGUGCCAGCAGCCGCAGUAA
rnacentral:rRNA from 1 species